rfam:Pelodiscus sinensis unplaced genomic scaffold scaffold2110, whole genome shotgun sequence.
GGGGGUGUAGCUCAGUGGCAGAGUGUUUGAUUGUAGGUCAAGUGGUCAUUGGUUCAAAUCUAAGAGCCCCCU